GAGGUGCGGCCUCCCGCACUGUCAGAAGGGGAUAGACCCGAGAUUGCCCCCAGGUGGGCAGAACCAGGCCACCUGUGGCCACUUUGCCGGAAGCAGAGGGGCAGGACAGGAAGCUGGACUAUAAAAGGCCAGCCUCCUAGCUCAGUAGAGAGAGAGAGCUGCCAGAGCAGCAGGAUAUCUCUUCCUUGCUGCUGGGGCCCUGAGCUGAAGGAGACGACUGACCGACCAGAGGAGUUACCUGAAUUGCCGGAGACCAGCAACACUGAUGAACUGCCAUUGGCUGUUUACCCCGGGGAGACAGAAGACCACCCCAGAUUGCCUCAAACUGGGGCGGACCCUACCUGAUCAUGCGGAACCUGCCAGGAUGAGAUGGUUUUCCCUAGGUCUGGUCUAUUUGUACUGGAUUGCCUUGGAAGAUUGGCUCAAGAAUUGAACUGAGUGAAAAGGCUCUCAAUGAGAGUUGGACCAGGCCUUCUGUGAGCUAGACAGCCCAAGAGCUGCAGUCUGUGAGCAGCCAGCAGCCUGAAUAAAAAUUAAAAAAAAGCCUUUUGUUUACCACACCUGAGUCCUGUCUUUUCUGUGUAGCAUGGAAACUACAAGAGUUUGAUCUCCAAAUGGAGUCCUUAGUCAAUUUCUGAGGCAGAGUUGCGCUCUGGGAACUGGACACUGGUGUUUGGCAGAGAUUCCUGGAAGAAGGGGUU